rnacentral:rRNA from 1 species
GUGUCAGCCGCCGCGGUAAGACGUAGGGGGCGAGCGUUGUCCGGAUUUACUGGGCGUAAAGAGCGCGUAGGCGGCUCGUUAAGUGUGAAGUGAAAUCUCCAGGGCUCAACCCGGAAACUGCUUCGCAUACUGGCGAGCUUGAGGAAUGCAGAGGUAAGUAGAAUUCCUGGUGUAGCGGUGAAAUGCGUAGAUAUCAGGAGGAAUACCGACGGCGAAGGCAGCUUACUGGGCAUUAUCUGACGCUGAGGCGCGAAAGCGUGGGUAGCAAACAGGAUUAGAUACCCUGGUAGUCCACGCCCUAAACGAUGGAUACUAGACGUAAGAGGUAUCGACCCCUCUUGUGUCGCAGCUAACGCACUAAGUAUCCCGCCUGGGGAGUACGGCCGCAAGGUUGAA